UAUAUACUCCCUCCGUCUGAAAAAGCUUAUCCCUCAAAUAGAUGUAACUGGCAUCAAGCUAGUGCUAGAUACAUCCAUUUGAGAGACAUGCUUGGGACAAGAUUUUUCAGACAGAGGAAGUAUAUG
rfam:Triticum urartu cultivar G1812 contig884417, whole genome shotgun sequence.